UACGGAGGAGGCAAGCGUUAUCCGGAAUUAUUGGGCGUAAAGCGUCCGCAGGUGGCACCUCAAGUCUGCUGUCAAAGACCGGGGCUUAACCUCAGAAAGCAGUGGAAACUGAAGUGCUAGAGUGCAGUAGGGGUAGAGGGAAUUCCCGGUGUAGCGGUGAAAUGCGUAGAGAUCGGGAAGAACAUCGGUGGCGAAAGCGCUCUGCUGGACUGCAACUGACACUCAGGGACGAAAGCUAGGGGAGCGAAUGGG
rnacentral:rRNA from 1 species